UACGGGGGUGCGAGCGUUGUUCGGAUUCAUUGGGUCGUAAGGGUGUGUAGGUGGCGCGCUAAGUCGGGUGUGAAAUUUCGGAGCUUAACUCCGAAACUGCAUUCGAUACUGGCGUGCUUGAGGACUGGAGAGGAGACUGGAAUUCAUGGUGUAGCAGUGAAAUGCGUAGAGAUCAUGAGGAGGACCAGUGGCGAAGGCGGGUCUCUGGACAGUUCCUGACACUGAGACACGAAGGCCAGGGAGCAAACGGG
rnacentral:rRNA from 1 species